GGCUCAUUAUAUAAGUUAUCGUUUAUUUGAUAGUACCUUACUACUUGGAUAACCGUGGUAAUUCUAGAGCUAAUACAUGCUAAAAAUCCCGACUUCGGAAGGGAUGUAUUUAUUAGAUUAAAAACCAAUGCCCUCUGGGCUCUCUGGUGAUUCAUGAUAACUUCUCGAAUCGCAUGGCCUUGCGCCGGCGAUGGUUCAUUCAAAUUUCUUCCCUAUCAACUUUCGAUGUUUGGGUAGUGGCCAAACAUGGUUGCAACGGGUAACGGAGGGUUAGGGCUCGACCCCGGAGAAGGAGCCUGAGAAACGGCUACUACAUCCAAGGAAGGCAGCAGGCGCGCAAAUUACCCAAUCCCGAUUCGGGGAGGUAGUGACAAUAAAUACUGAUACAGGGCUCUUUUGGGUCUUGUAAUUGGAAUGAGUACAAUUUAAAUCCCUUAACGAGGAACAAUUGGAGGGCAAGUCUGGUGCCAGCAGCCGCGGUAAUUCCAGCUCCAAUAGCGUAUAUUAAAGUUGUUGUGGUUAAAAAGCUCGUAGUUGAACCUUGGGCCUGGCUGGCCGGUCCGCCUCACCGCGUGUACUGGUCCGGCCGGGCCUUUCCCUCUGUGGAACCCCAUGCCCUUCACUGGGUGUGGCGGGGAAACAGGACUUUUACUUUGAAAAAAUUAGAGUGCUCCAGGCAGGCCUAUGCUCGAAUACAUUAGCAUGGAAUAAUAAAAUAGGACGUGUGGUUCUAUUUUGUUGGUUUCUAGGACCGCCGUAAUGAUUAAUAGGGACAGUCGGGGGCAUCAGUAUUCAAUUGUCAGAGGUGAAAUUCUUGGAUUUAUUGAAGACUAACUACUGCGAAAGCAUUUGCCAAGGAUGUUUUCAUUAAUCAGGAACGAAAGUUAGGGGAUCGAAGACGAUCAGAUACCGUCGUAGUCUUAACCAUAAACUAUGCCGACUAGGGAUCGGACGAUGUUAUUUUUUGACUCGUUCGGCACCUUACGAGAAAUC
rnacentral:rRNA from 1 species